rnacentral:rRNA from 1 species
AUUGAACGCUGGCGGCAGGCUUAACACAUGCAAGUCGAGCGGGGUGAUGGUGCUUGCACUAUCACUUAGCGGCGGACGGGUGCGUAAUGCUUAGGAAUCUGCCUAUUAGUGGGGGACAACAUCUCGAAAGGGAUGCUAAUACCGCAUACGUCCUACGGGAGAAAGCAGGGGAUCCCUUGUGACCUUGCGCUAAUAGAUGAGCCUAAGUCGGAUUAGCUAGUUGGUGGGGUAAAGGCCUACCAAGGCGACGAUCUGUGGCGGGUCGGAGAGGAUGAUCCGCCACACUGGGACUGAGACACGGCCCAGACUCCUACGGGAGGCAGCAGUGGGGAAUAUUGGACAAUGGGGGGAACCCUGAUCCAGCCAUGCCGCGUGUGUGAAGAAGGCCUUAUGGUUGUAAAGCACUUUAAGCGAGGAGGAGGCUCUUUUGGUUAAUACCCAAGAUGAGUGGACGUUACUCGCAGAAUAAGCACCGGCUAACUCUGUGCCAGCCGCCGCUGUAA